rnacentral:rRNA from 1 species
GACAGAGGUCCCAAGCGUUAGGCGGAAUCACUGGGCUUAAAGCGUGUGUAGGCGGACUUCUAAGUACCUUGUGAAAUCCCACGGCUCAACCGUGGAACUGCUUGGUAUACUGGUUGUCUUGGGCCAUCUAGGGGCUAGCGGAACAAACGGUGGAGCGGUGAAAUGCGUAGAUAUCGUUUGGAACGCCAAUGGUGAAAACAGCUAGCUGGGGGAUGUGCCGACGCUGAGACACGAAAGCCAGGGGAGCGAACGGGG